CAAUGCAGUGAGUGAACAUCGGUUAAAACUUCUUUUUAUGGCGCAUUAUUAUGACGCAUGUGGAUGACCGCCACCUACGUAGAGAUCAAUUCUGCUGAGACCAGACAUCUCAUUGUGGUGUUAUAGUUAGUGCUACAGAAAAAUAAAUCAGUACGAUCUGAGAAGUGAUAAAAGAAAUGCCCGCAGUGGAUUACGCUCGCAGUGCGGGCCUGGCCGCAAGCAGUUCGUCGCGAACAGUCUACUGCCACUCGCCCUCCCUGGUGACGCUCAAGGCUAAUUACCCUUUAGGCAAGCCGUGGACAUAAUAUUGCCUCCCACAUUUUGAACUGCGAGCUGCGGUAAUGAUAGAGAUAAAAACGAAUGAAAAUAUUUUUUUCUGAAGCUCUGUACACAUGCAAUAGCCGCGAUGUUAUGUUUUGGGGUUUUGGAUGGUUCUCAUUGGCGAGACAAUCAAGGCAUGGUUUCCACCAAGGCCGAGCGAAGUGGACUUUUUUUUUUAAUAACCAAUGAGAUCAAUGACAAUGAGUCAAUUUCAUUCAAUCAGAUUGACAUCGGUGGCCAAAUUUUCACGUAACAAAACAUAACAAAACCUUGGUGGAAACCGGGCUUGAGGCGGUAACCAGUAACGGUGCGAUUAUCGCUGUGUGAACCAGGCUUAAGGGCCAGGCUGUAGGCGGCGGCGUCCUCGGGGCUCGUCGUGCGGACGUUCCGCAGCUGUUCGUUCUCGGAGCUGGUGGUUGAGG